rnacentral:rRNA from 1 species
ACGCUAGCGGGAGGCCUAACACAUGCAAGCCGAGCGGUAUUUGUUCUUCGGAACAGAGAGAGCGGCGUACGGGUGCGGAACACGUGUGCAACCUGCCUUUAUCUGGGGGAUAGCCUUUCGAAAGGAAGAUUAAUACCCCAUAAUAUAUUUUACGGCAUCGUGGAAUAUUGAAAACUCCGGUGGAUAGAGAUGGGCACGCGCAAGAUUAGAUAGUUGGUGAGGUAACGGCUCACCAAGUCAGUGAUCUUUAGGGGGCCUGAGAGGGUGAUCCCCCACACUGGUACUGAGACACGGACCAGACUCCUACGGGAGGCAGCAGUGAGGAAUAUUGGACAAUGGGUGCAAGCCUGAUCCAGCCAUCCCGCGUGAAGGACUAAGGCCCUAUGGGUUGUAAACUUCUUUUAUACUGGGAUAAACCUACUUACGUGUAAGUAGCUGAAGGUACAGUAUGAAUAAGCACCGGCUAACUCCGUGCCAGCAGCCGCGGUAAUACGGAGGGUGCAAGCGUUAUCCGGAUUUAUUGGGUUUAAAGGGUCCGUAGGCGGAUCUGUAAGUCAGUGGUGAAAUCUCAUAGCUUAACUAUGAAACUGCCAUUGAUACUGCAGGUCUUGAGUGAGAUUGAGGUAGCUGGAAUAAGUAGUGUAGCGGUGAAAUGCAUAGAUAUUACUUAGAACACCAAUUGCGAAGGCAGGUUACCAAGUCUUAACUGACGCUGAGGGACGAAAGCGUGGGGAGCGAAC